GUAGGUGGCAAGCGUUGUCCGGAAUUAUUGGGCGUAAAGCGCGCGCAGGUGGUUCUUUAAGUCUGAUGUGAAAGCCCCCGGGCUCAACCGGGGAGGGUCAUUGGAAACUGGGGAACUUGAGUGCAGGAGAGGAAAGUGGAAUUCCACGUGUAGCGGUGAAAUGCGUAGACAUGUGGAGGAACACCAGUGGCGAAGGCGACUUUCUGGCCUGUAACUGACACUGAGGCGCGAAAGCGUGGGGAGCAAACAGGAUUAGAUACCCUGGUAGUCCACGCCGUAAACGAUGAGUGCUAAGUGUUGGGGGGUUUCCGCCCCUCAGUGCUGCAGCUAACGCAUUAAGCACUCCGCCUGGGGAGUACGGUCGCAAAGACUG
rnacentral:rRNA from 1 species